GCUACAAAUCACUAUACUAUCAUGCUCUACACUAACCAACUGUAGGAAAUGUCAAAUCUGACCCAAUCCAAUCGGGACUGUAGACAUACCCGUCCCUGGGACUGUGAACACACCCGUCCCUGCCCCGUUGCGACUAUCGGGCUCUAUCCACACUAACUGGUCCGUGGAGAGCAAGUCCAACUGGCAUGAGCGACACCAACGCAAAAGCACAAGCCUGACUCCGGAGUGGCACUCGUGGGCGCUACCCAACCGAGUAUGCAGCGUAUCUCUGUCGAGCUCAAUCAGGCUCCAACUAGCCAAAGUCAAGUAAUCGACUUAAACUGGUCUAACAACCAACAGGUAACGUGCCCUCGGCACAAUCUGACGCCAAAAAGGCGAUACGGUCCACCGUCAACUCUGACGGCACCCAACAGUCCGAAACGGCCUGAACGACCCUGCAAAAAUUCACUCGGCGAACCAGCACGAGUGUAAAUACAUUCUAAACUACCCAAGGUAUCCAUUGCACUGACUCGGCAACGAUACAAUCGAACACGGCUCCUAGAGCUAAAUCUGGUAGUUUAAGCAUAUGACGGGUCAAAACGCAGGUUUUCUCCUAAGUCAAAUUUCAAGUCCAACAUGUAUAAUUUAAAUAUUCAUUUCAGCAUGCUUCUACAUUCAUAUUACAUUCAAAAUGCUAAUCGAUGAAUUAAAGCAUGAUUUACAACACUCGAACUAUACACGUUGACUAACAUGCACUUAGGAGCGAAACCGAUGAAACACCCACCUCUAAUGCAAUUCCUGGCAGCAAUAGGGUCUCGGAUCCUCAAGCAACACUGCUGGAAACCUCUUCAAACCAGCAACAAAGCCCCUUAAGAUCUGGAUUUACAAUGCACCCAAAAAUCCAAUAAAAAUCAUCAAAAUCCACAAUUCAGUCCAAGUACACAGCAGCAGAGAAGAGAAGGGUUUCGACCAAGCUAACCUUCACCAAAAUCCACAAGUAAGGACUUCGUGGAUUCUUCUCGCAGUCCCGAAACCAACGAAUCAAGUCUCGACGAAAUCCGAUGCUCCUACGUCGAGUACGAGCUGAAAUACUAACAGUCGACGAUGAAUUUCAGCAAAACAGCAUUUAAGCUUAAAUAUCUCAAUUCCAAUGUCAAAACUCACCAAACGAACUCCAAAUCAGGUGGAGAGGGUCCCAAUUCCAGUACUGGGUGAUAGGGAAAAUAACUCAACUCCACAAAGCCCCUGCUUCCCAAGUUCACCCCAAGAAAACAUCAAAAAUUGGCAAAUUCUGUCCAAAGCAACAACAGCAGAGGAAAACCUGAGUUCGACUGAGCUAACCUUCACCAAAUUCUGCAAAUUAGGGCUUCGUGGAUUCCUCUGGAAGUCAAGAAUCCAGCAAACCAAGUUUCGUUGAAAUCCGACCUUCCUACGUCACGCACGAGCCAAAACACUGGAGGUCGUCGCUGAAGAACUGCAAAAUCAGCACCUUGCAAUUCUUGGAGAGGUGGAUCUUGAUGCAAAUUGGAAAGAUUUGAGGGAUUUGGGAGUAAAAUCUAAGUCCUCUGUGAAGAACAGGUAAAAGAGCUCAAAGGGGGCGCUUCUCAGCUAUUUAUAGGCUGCUGGAUAGAUCAGAUAAGCCCCAGGAAAAAUAGCCGCAAUCCAGUGCCCCUGCAGAAACGGGCGUUUCUGGGCGCCCGGAAACAUGUUCUGGGCGACCAGAACAUCCGGCCUGCACAAAAUGGGCCCCUCGGACUCUCCGCCCGCGGUGUGCUGCGCCCGUAAAUGGCACCGGCGGAACUCACCUACCGCCCUGCCACGCGUCGAAGCAAGCGAUAUUCACGAGGUGAAAUUUCCGGACCCACUUCUGGGCGCCCGGAACAUGGGAUCCGAAUUGGCUUCCAGUUUCAGUUAAAAUCAACACUCGUUUCUGGGCGACCCUAACAAUGUUCUGGGCGCCCGAAUCUGGCAAAACUCCAGUUUUGCUUAUUUGAGUGCGCCGAGUCCAAUUCUGCAUCCAAUUCGUGCAGAAUUGACUUCGACUCAGUCCGACACUCUCCAGAGAUGUCGACCAGUCUAUAAUACUGAAGCCAAUCCUAUCCAAAGCUCAGGAACACUACAUAUAUUAACUAUAAACAAAUAUAUUUGGUGGGUUUUCCUCACCCCCUCCUACCAAGGGUAUCUUGGUAAUUUAUUAUUAGUUGAAUAUUAAAAAUAAAUUUAUAUAAUUAAAUUAUAAAUAAUUAUGUAAAAUUUUAAAACUUAAUAUAAUUAGAUGAACACCCUACUAUCAACAAGAAUUAAAAUUUCUUAUUAGGCCUCAAAACUUUUCAAAAAAAAUUUACAGUAUAACAAAAUUUUUCAAAAUUUUUUAAGAAAAAGUAGUACUUUUUCUCUUUCCAUAACAAAAUUCAUUUAUUCGCAAAAUUUAAAAAACUUAUAGUCAACUAAUUAUUAUCUAGAUAUUAAUUAUAAUGUUAUAUAAUUAACUUAUAAAUAACUAUAAUGUUGAAAAUUAUUUUAAAUUAGAGCAAUUCUUAUUUUUAAUUUAAAUUCUCCAUAUCAUUUUAAAAAAUAUUUAAAAUUUUAAAAAAUACUAAACUUCAAUUAGUGUCUUAAUUAUAUAACCUUCAAUUACACUUUUGUACCAACAAAAUUUUAAAUUAAAAUGACGAAUUAUGAUGAUGAAGGUGAAAAAAAUACAGUGCAGCAGAAUUAAUUUAUGAAAACUAUUAAAACAAAGUUUAAAUAUGCAAAAUCAUAAAAUAGAUAAUAUUAUUUGUUGAAUUGUUUGAAGUUCUCUUUUUCCAACCAAAAAUGCAUUUAUUUAGAAAAUAAAAAAUAUUAAGUCACCUAAUUAUUAUCUAGAUAUUCAUUAUAAUGUUGUAUAAUUAAAUUAUAAAUAACAAUAAUGUAGAAAGCAAUUUUUUUUUAUUUUGUAGGUUCGUAUUUGAUUCGUAGUUUUAGUUGAUUUGACUAACCUAAAUCCUUUUCUCCAAUAAACAAAAAAACAAUCCCGAAAAGACCUUUGGAAUUCCCAAAAAAAAAGACUUUUGAAAUUUUCAAAAUUGCUUCGUUUUUUAUGCAUGACUUUUGGAUGACCGUGCUGUGUUGAAAACGAAAAGAUAAUAAUUUAUUAUCAUAGGGCUCUCAACACUAUAAAUACAUGGUUCUUGAAGUCUUAAGAGAUAAUUUUAGAUAUCUUUUAAUGCGUUGCACUUCUAACAGAUCACCAUCUUCUGUCAAACAAUUUUGUGAGAAAAUUUAACAACUGUGGAAGGUGACAUUAUCAAAAAGGUGAUUCAAGAUAGGCCUAUUUUAAUUGCAACUUCCCUGAAUGUACAAAACUUCAAAGGUAAAAAAUUUUAUAUAAUCAAAUAUGUGCUUCUGAUAUCAUAUUUUGCAAUCAUAAUAUUUAAGUUUUGAAUUUUUUCUCUAAUCAUCAGGCAUUUCACUUUCUACAACAUCAAAUACAAUGCUCAAAAUUAAUCCAUCAACAAAGGAAGCAAAGGAUUUAAGAGAAUGGUAAAUAUAAACGCAAUAUAUGAAUAAUUAACAUGUAUAUUAGUUACUAUUUAUUUCUUUGAAUGUAUAUUGUAGGAUUUCAAAAAGCUUAUUUAACACUGAUGAAAUGAACAAAAUACGAAAUAUGACGAAUACGGCCAAAAUGAAAAAUGAAAGAGCUACUAUUAAGGAGAUUACUGGAGAUCUUGUUAAUGCAUCUAAAUAGGUAUAUUGUUCUUUUAUUUGUAUACCAAAAAAUUAAAUUUUGAUGAUAUAUUAUUUCCAGUUAUGAGAGUUAAAAAUACAAGUGGUGGAGUUAAACAAAAAGCAAGAUCCUUGGUACAUGGCUUGUAAGGAAUUCUACAAGAAAAUUAUAGAAAUUAGUAGUGUUCAACAGUGCAAAUUCUGUCCCAAUUCAGAUACUGAUAUUGAAUAUAAGUAAUAUUAGCAAUAUUAUUUUCUUAUAUGUUAAAGUUAAAUAAAAAUCUAAGUGCUUGUUAAGUUUUUACAGGUUUAUGUUUCGUCUAAAAGUUGCUGAUGAUACUGGCGAGCUUUGAGUAUCAAUGUUUUAAAAGGAAGUGGGGCAAUUAUUGAAUUGCAACGUUAAUGAACUUCGGCAAUUAAAGGUACCACGUGUAUUAUAAUAAUACAAAAAAUAAUUUAAUAAAUUUACUUAUUAUUUGUCAUUCAAUUUUGCAGGAAUAUAAUAUUGACCAAUUUGUGAGGAAAUUAGAAAGUUGCUUGAAAAAAUCAUACUUACUAACUAUAUAUUAAAGUUGUAGAGGCCAAAAGAGGUGAGGUAAUUACUUACAACUACACAGGCAUAUCAAUUGAGGAACUUGAUGGACAAGAAGAUGAAUCAAUCGGAAACAAAAAUUUCCCUCAAAGUCAUAUUCAACAUGAUAUUCUUAAAGAUAAUGAAGAAACUAAAUCAACAAGAAGUCAGAAUUUUUCUCAAAAUUAUAUUCAGCGAAAAAUUCUUGAAGACGAUGAAGAAGCUUUAGUGAUGAAUAUUACCGAGUCAAAGUUUUCUCGCCUUCGGAAAAAAAAGAUGAUCAUCGAUGACGAAGACUAAGACAAUGGAAUUAGAAAGAACUUAACUCUUCUUUAUUUACUUCAUUUUGUUUCCGACUAUUGUCAUAUAUGGAUUCAUGCUUUUAUUUUGCUAUAUUAUCUAUCCAUAAUACUUCGUAUAUUUUGUUUAUGCUUCAUAAUAUUUAAUACUUUUCUUUAAUUUGAUCCUACUAUUUAAAUAUAUUAUUUAUUCAUUAAUUUGUUAAUAAUUUUAAUUAUAUUAGAAAGAAUAAUACGUGCAUCGCACGUGCACUGCCUAGUGUAUUGUACAAAAGUCCAUACCUUAUUUUUGGUAUCCAAAUUGACCAAUAUUUAAUGAGAUUUUGAUUUUAUCCUUUUAAUAUUAGUGUUUUUUUUUUGCAAUUAGCUCCCUAAAAAAAAUUUAUUUUAAAGCAAAUUUAAAUUUACAAAAAUGGCACUGGCCCUGCCACGUAAGCGCCACGUCAAUGCCAUGCGGGCGGGGCUGGGCCAGAUAGUUAAGUUAAACACGGUGAAUCAUUCACCGUGUUUAGAUACGGUGAAUGGUUCACCGUGUCUGAAGAAAGGGAAGGGAAAGGAAAAAUAUACGUAUUAUGAAAAAGAUAAGUAGGAAAAACGGUGAACCAUUCACCGUGUUUGAACAAGAUGAAUGGUUCACUGUGUUCAACUAACCGCCCAACCCACCCGCGUGGCGCUGAUGUGGCACCUGCGUGGCAAGGUUAAGGCCAUUUUUGCAAAUUUAAAUUUUCUGAGACUAUUUUUAAAAUAAAUUUUUUUUAGGAGGCUAGUUGCAAAAAAAAACCCUUAAUAUUAAUAUGUUUUGAUUUAGGUUAUUUCAGUGAGUCCUAUCAAAUUUUAAGGCUCUAACUACCAUUUAAAUAAAAGAAAAUAUUUCUUAUAGAUAAAUAUUGACCAAUAGUUAAUAGAGAUACUGAUUUUAAUAAAAGCUUUUAAUUUAAUUGUCUAAAAUAACUCAAAUCUAUAAGAAUCUAUAAAUUGACAGUUUUUUCAUGCCUAGGUGUUGUGUUCUAUAAAUUGACUGUUCUUCCAUACCUACGUAUCGCAUUCUCGCUUCUUCCAUACCUACAUCUAUCUAUAAGAAUCUAUAAAUCCAUAUCUACAUAUCGCGUUCUCACUUUUUUGGCACCAUUCAUACUUCCUCUCUCUAUCAUCUUCCUCCCUCUCUCUAUUAUCUUUCUACCUCUCUCUUUUUUGUCUCUCAUGCAGCGUUUCUAUAAGAAUUUAUAAAUCGACAGUUCUUUCAUGCUUACGUGUCGCGUUCUCGCUUCCCCUGGCACCAUUCAUACUCUCUCUCUCUUUAUUAUCUUCCACCAUCUCUCUAUAAUAUCUUCCUCACUCUCUCUAUUAUCUUCCUCUCUCUCUAUUAUUUUUCUCCUCUCUCUCUAUUGCCUCUCGCGCUACAACCAUAUCCUAUUCUCUCUCUCUCUCUAAGCUAUCCACAAUAAUCAUUUUUUCUUGUACCAACAAUAAUUACCUUCUCCCUACUACUUUAUCCCUAUCCAUAAUAAUUAUUUCUCUACGUACUUUCCUUAUUAUAUCUCUAACCCUAUCCACAAUAAUUAUCUCAUUUCUUUCUUUACUAUAUUUAGCUGUCUAUAAUAUAUCUUACAAAAUUUACCAAACUAAAAUAGGGCAUUCACACCACAUCCAACUCAAAACCGGCACCCCCUCUUCUCCAAUGGUUUGUUUUUCUCUUUCUCAACCCCACCCCGCCCUACGGCGUGCUUGCUGCUGUCCUCACCAUGUUUCGCUUCUGCUUUUAUGAUGCCGGCACGUGCUACAUCAAAAAAGAGGCUAGAGGUUGCGCAAAACUUUUUACAUUUAUUUUUUUUCCACCAAACUAAAUAAAUGUGAAUUUUUUUCUUUCAACCAAACAAAUGUUGAUGAAAAUUUUUUUUUCUUACGUUUCAAACUCUAUAAAAUAUAUAUAUUUUUUCCAUUAAAAUUUUUUCACAAAAACUAUUUUUUAUGAUUUUAUGUCCAACCAAACACCCUCUUAGGUGCUUUUUUUUUUAAGAAUUAGUUAUUUGCUGAUAAUUAUUCCUACUUAAUUAUUUAUCUGAGAGUAUCCUAUUUAUAUUAGAAUAAGUAUUAUUAUUUAUGUUUAAAUAUCAAAAUUUAUGUUUUCUUUCGAUGUGCACUUUUACUAAUCAAAAUAAAUUGUGACACCCUACUUUUUCAAGAGGUCAUCCAUCAUAGAACUACUCUAGCUCUCUAAUUUCUUAGGCCUAGCUACCGCCCAACAUACUAUAGCCGAGUUAGAAGGUUUAGUUUUAUUAUAUCGCUCCUUCACUAGUUAAAAUAAAUUGUAACACCCCACUUUUCAAGAGAUCAUCCAUUCUACAACUACUCUAACCCUCUAAAUCUUUUGGGCCCAGUGAACGCCCAAUAUGCUAUAACCGAGUUCGAAAGUUUAGUUCUAUUAUAUUUUAUAUGUAAGACUAUUUGAUAUUCUUGGAAUAUCACAUUCCUCCCUCAAAAGAAAAAAUUUAGGGUUCGCUUUCAGAAUAUGAGAUAGUUGAGGGGUCUUCGUACAUGUUUACCAAACCAAAACUAAAAAAACAAAAGAGAAGGAUCUUUUUGCAAAAAUGAGAGAGAGAGAGAGAGAGAGAGGCGAAGGGUGGAGGAGCAAAAAGUGGUGCGUGUGUGAGAGGCCGCAUUUGCGAUCGCAACGACGGAGAGAGGCGCAGCGCGAUGGACGCGAAAUCCCGCGACGCUCCGCCGCCUCCGCCGCCCCGCCAAGAGGAAAUCCUCCUCCUCCUCCUCCGCCGCCUCCGCCGCCGCCGCCGCCGCCCUCUUCUCCCCCUCCUCCUCCUUCUUUUCCUCCACCCCCUCCAAGCGCGUCGCCAAGGAGCGAAACCCUAUCCUCCACCACCACCUCCUCCCCCCGACCCACAACGGUCCCCUCACCCGCGCCCGCCAAUCCCCCAACAAGCUCGGCUCCGCAGCCACACCGCAUAGGCCACCGCCCCCGGAUCUGGCGGCGCCGCCAUCGUCGGAGCCGCUCGUGGACGCGGAGUUCGAUGCCGUCCGAUCUCGCGGCGCCGGUGUUCAUGUCGUCCCCACUUUCGCCGGUAAGUGCUCGGAUUUUGAUUCACGCUUCUUUCUAUUUUUGAACUUGUAAUUUCUUUAGGCUCUAGGGUUUUCCAUUUGUUUUGCUGUUAGUACGAACAAAAGGUUUGGUGCUAAGUCGUUCUCAAUUUUACGUGCACUAAAGAAGAGAUUCUAACAUGCUCAGGAUGGUUUUCAUGGAGCGCAAUCCACCCAAUUGAGAAGCAAACCCUAGCUUCAUUUUUCAACGGGAAAUCCGAGAAACGGACACCUGAGAUUUACCUUGAAAUAAGGAAUUCCAUCAUGCAAAAGUUUCACGCCGACCCGAAUGUUCAGGUGGAACUGAAAGACUUCUCCGAGCUAUCCGUAGGUGAUGCGGAUGCCAAGCAAGAAGCCUUUGAGUUCUUGGAUCACUGGGGUUUGAUAAAUUUCCACCCUUUCCCGCCGUCCGGGACCAACGACAGCAAAUCCGACGGUGAUAAUGGGGAUGAUAAGAUGUCCUCGAUAGUUGGUAAGCUUUAUCAAUUUGACACGGUUCAAUCGUAUAUUAAUUCGGCUCAUAAGAAAGCAGAGCCCACUAUGCCGGCUCCACCACCUAGCUUGAUCUCCGAGACAGCCCUAGCUGAUGCUUUGGUUAUUACGCUCGAGCCUUCGGUUGAGUAUCACUGCAAUUCCUGCUCAGCUGAUUGCUCACGCAAGCGCUACCAUUGCCAAACGCAGGUGAGCUCUUUAAUGGUUCUUAUGUUCACUUUUGAAGAGGAACUUGUUUGCUAGAUUAGAAUAUUGACUCUUUAGAAACUCCAGAAUCGAGCUUAGUUUUGUACAAAACUGGUUGGCCCUGUUCUGUUUGAAUUUUUUUAAGUGAUCGAAUGGAUUUCUGAUAUACAGGUUUAUAAUCAAAUAGUGUCCAUGAAGUUCUGUAUCUUUAUGCUGUCAAACUUACUGUGCUACCUAGGGUUAUUACUGUUGUCUAUAUACAUCUUAUUUUGAGAUAACUAAUUGUAAGUUUGAAAUGAUUUAAAUGUGCAUGCACUUCAGCAUAUCACUUGGUGAUUUAAAUCUUCUUCUAUGCUUCUAUAUAACUUGUCGUAGUCAUAAAUUUUAAUUUCAUGUUAAAGUAAGUAAAAUGUUGAAUAUAAACUGAUUGUACUUAAAAAGAAAAAAGAAAAAUAUGGAUUAAUAUGCCAGACUUCUUAAAGUGUUAUUUCUUCUUUCUGAAAAGAUUCAGUAUUGUAGAAAUCUUAAGACAUUGUAACAACAUGGUUAAACUUUAUUGGAUGAUCUUUCAAAAACUACAGAUUUUAUUGUUGUUACGAUUGGUAUUACACUAAUUGGAUGGAGAUACCUCAUUCGGUAUUGCUUGGACAGUCUUAUUCUUUGAUGAAAACAAGUACUGAAGAACGUGGUAGAAUAAGUGGUUAACGUAUUCUCUGCAAAUAUCUUCCUAUGUCACUUUGCGUACGUAUAUCUUCCCGCUGUGAUCCUGUUUUAAAAAGUUUGAGAGAAGUUUGGAGCUUCUUUUGGGGCCUAGAAGCUCAUUUUAGCUUCCCUCUAUGGCUGAAGUUUUAGAGUUUUUGUUUGCCAAAUGUGUGGUAAUGUUUCUCGGGGUAGAGAAGAUAUUAUAAAAGUCGUGUGAUAUAGGAACUUGGCAGAGAAGGUUCAGUAAUAGUUUCUUAUGCUGUUUUCUGUUAAUUUCUCAGGCAGGUUUUGAUUUAUGUAUCAAUUUCUCAGGCAGAUUUUGAUCUAUGUAUCGACUGCUUCAACGAAAGGAAGUUCGAUCCAGGCAUGUCACCAGCUGAUUUUAUUCUUAUGGGACCUGCAGAGGCUCCUGGUGCUAGUGGUGCUAACUGGACUGAUCAGGAGACCCUGCUUCUUCUGGAAGCCCUUGAACUAUUUGGAGAGAAUUGGAGCGAGAUCGCUGAGCAUGUUGCCACAAAAACCAAAGUCCAGUGUAUGCUACACUUUCUGCAAAUGCCCAUUGAAGACUCCUUUUUGGAUGGCGAUGAUGAAAUUAAUGAAUCUAUUCAAGAAAAAGCAGAAACCACUUCUGCUGAUAAAGAGUUGGCUUCUACAACUGUUCCUGAGAAAAUGGAAGUUGAAAACCAAGUAGAAGAAAAAGAAAAAGAAGAAGAAGAAAAAAAAGAAAAAGACAGCGAAGAUGAAAAAGAAUCUUCAGAUGUGAAAAUGUCUGAAAAGAUAGAAGGCGAAAAUACUGGAGGAAAAGAAUCGGAUGCUAUUAAUCUUCCUGACAAUAAGGAUGUCGAAAACUCAGGAAAAGCAGAUUUGCCUAUCAAAUCCGACACAGAUGAUACAGAGAAGAAAAAUACGGAUAAUAUUUCUAGUGAAAGUGCUUCUGACAGUGCUGUUGAUGCAUUAAAGUUAGCAUUUCAGGCUGUUGGUUUCUUUUCUGAAAACGGAGAGUUGGGUUCAUUUGCAGAAGCAGGAAACCCCGUGAUGGCCUUGGUAAGUAAAGUCAGUUUGACGAAGACCCUAUUUGUAUUUGGUCUCGCUGGAGUUCUACAAGUGCUGUUUGAGUAGAGCUAUAUGGAAAUGCACUAAACUGUUCAAUUCAUCAAAAUUUCUUUGAUAGCUUCCCUUUGUAGCACAAGUGGAAGCUUCAAACUGGAUUCUUGGUCUUGGGGUUCAGAAGGUCUUCUUCAGCUUUCCGACAUAGCAAUAGCUCCAAACUUUUUGUAUGGUGCGACACUUGGCUGUUGCUUGUUAGAGUAGAGAAGCUAUUCCAAACUCGAGCCAAAUGGGCUUGAGAUGCAGCUACCUUCGAAGUGGUUUUGCAUUGAUUGUAAACUUGCUUAGUUUUCUUUGCUUUGCAGGCAGCUUUUUUAGUAGCUCUAGUGGAACAUGAUAAUGCCAUUACUUCAUGUCGUAGUUCACUAAAAGCCAUUUCAGAGGAAUCUCCUGCUAUCCAACUAGCUACAAGACAUUGCUUUAUUCUUGAAGAUCCACCUGGUGAUAUGAAGAGGUUUAUAGUCUUUCUGCUUAUAAUUGCUGUCUCACUUGAUAACACCGUUGCAGUUUGUGCUGUUCUUUUUUCGUAAAAAAAUUUCUUCUUAUUAAUUCAAUUAAAUUUACAGCAAAAUUGCAAGCAAGGGUGCUGAGUGUCAAAAAGAUGAAGAUCAAACACUAAGUUUGAAUGGCACUGAUAAAUUGAAGGACAGCAAAGAACAGAGUGAGGAGAAUGCUCUUUCUCUUGAGAAGAAAAUGGAUCCAUCUGCGUUAACAAAGGGUGAACUGAAGCUGCCAGAUGAGAAGGUAUUGGGUAAUGAAGGCCCUUUGUCGGAGGCAGCAGUGAACAACAUUAGAAGUUCUGGUGAUCAGAAGGAUGCUACUGAUGCCAAUUUACCAGCAGUUCCUCCAACAAAUAAUACAAAAGAAUCGGUUGUUUUAGAUUCACGAGAAGCUGCUGAAAGUGUGGAGAAGAAGAUGAAUGACUUGAAGUCGGUAGGAGAGGAGAAACCACUUAAUGUAAAGGUGGGCGAUUUAGAUUCACAGGACAAGGGCGAGAUAGAUACAUUAAAGAGUAAAGAUACUGGAGCUGCGCCGGCUGCCAAUGGGGAACAAGAGUCCAAGCAAACAAGUGAACCAGGUUCUACAUUACAAAAGAGGGAGGAGGCUGGUAAGUGUCUUCAGCUUCCUAUCUCCAGCUUUGUAUGGCCAAUUAAUGGAAUUUCUAUUAUAGAUUUCUGUUUUCUCAGGCAAUCAUGUUGCAGUUCUAUAUUUGAAGUUACAUAAGUGAGUUAUUUUUUAUUGAUUGGCAAACAAGUGCUUAGUAAUAACCUUGAAGUUACGUAUAGCAAAAUUUAUACAUGCGUUUUUCAUUUAUGUAUUCAUGAUUAUGUCUCAUAGUUCAGAUAACAAAGGCAUAUAGUAUUGUAUCAUGUUUUUAUAAACUUUAAUCCAAUACUUGCUGACUUGUUUUGUAAAUCAUUUUCUACACUGUUAACCAUGUGAGAACUACGAAUGAACUGUUCGAAACUUUCAACCUAGUUUAUGCUUAGGAUUGGCUCAUGCAUCUUUCGUGAGAUGUGCUUGGUUCCUUUUCAUGACGUUGGCUUAAGGGAUUCAUUUAUAAGAUGUUAAGGUGAAAGCUCUGGCAUGAAGGCUGUUAGGAUCUUUCGAUCUCCUCAUGGAGGUCUCUUCUUUUCAAAGGGAAGGAGUGCCUUCUAUCCCUUCUUCAAGGGGGAGGGUUUCUAAAGAAAAAUAGUAGAACCAUACUAGUGGCUGUUCCUUAUGGCUUAAUAUUCUCCCAGCUCAAUACAAAAGAGAGAAAGAAUGUGCCUGUUUGUUGAUCACACUGCAUGACGAGUUCCUAUCCUAAUACAACUCCGCAUGGAACCACGUGGCAUAAUAAAAUUUAUAAAAGCUAUGGAUCAGUUAAGCAGAACUCUUGGGUUUGAAAAAUUUACGAUCAGGCAGCUGAUCUUGUCAACUUCCCUGUAGUCAGGCCGGUUUAAAGUGAGGUGGUUUGUGCCAAACCCCGUGUCUUGAAGCUCGCCUUGUCUCAAAGGUGUCUUCUGAUGGUAUUCCUUGUUAAGAUUCCAUGAUGAUUUCGUCCUCAAUUAAUUGUAUAAAUUAGAGGACUGGCAGUCGCUUUAGAGUGAUGUUAUCGUAGAGGUAAUGCAAUUCUAAUAUGGGUUUGAGAUUUAUGUGUUUUUGAUUACCAUUGGUCUCUUAAAAUGAAUCUGCUGUAGUGGAAGUGGUAAUUUCUCAAUCAAAGCGAAUCCUUAAACUUGAUCUGAUUCAGCAUCUCUUAUUCUUUUGAUUCAGAAUCAUCUUUUGUUUUGAACUCUGCUUUUUCACUACUACUUUGCAUUAUCAUUUCUGGUUGUGAUGUGGGGUUGACAAGUUUGUAUAGUAAAAGGCUUGCGGUGGUCUCUUUGGGAUUGCAUGAUAAAGUAGAGAAAAAUACUAAUUGUGUUGAAUAUGCACGAUCCGGACCUAAGUAUUUACCCAUCAAAAUUUGGAACAGUCCAAUUGAGCAGAUGCUUCUAGUGGUUGACUUGUCUGCCUAUUUCUCGAUUGAUUGAAAAUUUUCCUGCUUUUCACUUGUAUACCUUCGUAAAACUAAAUUUUCUAUAUAUAAUAUGAAAAGUGCAAGUUCCUAGAAAAACACCUUUAACUUUGGUUGGGCAGUCAUCCAUCCAGUUCACGAGAUGACGUUGGUCUUGAAUUGGAGAAUGAAAAUUCGAAAAAAGCAAUAUUUCUGUCAGUUCAAAGGGAUAUAUGUAAGAAACUAAGUUUUUGAUGGUACACAAGUAAGAAACUAAGUUUCUGAAGGGCAUAUAUGAAUAUUCAGAUCUCGCAACUGUAUAUAUGUACUUUUAUAUCUGUAUAUAUGUAAAUAGUUCUUUCCUUUAUGUGGAUAUUGUUUUAGCUUUACUGAAUUUAUUAUCAGUUAUAAUGUUUGUGGCAUGCAACUCUUAGGAUUCUGCUUCUUUUGCUGAAAACAGCUGGACCAUUCAUGUUACUGAGGAGUCGCCCAUAUUUGCUUUUUUUUUUUUUUUUUUUUUUUUUUUUUUUUUUCUUUCUUGGUUUCCUUUAUCUUGCAGGUGAGGGAGAUAAAAAAGAAGUCGCAUCCACUGAUGACAAGAGUGCCAACUUGGAUUCAAGCCAUGGUAAUUAUGCUCUAAUUAGGUUAAAACGUGCUGCAGCUACUGCUCUUUCGGCGGCUGCAGUGAAUUCUAAGCUUCUUGCAAAGCAGGAGGAGGAACAGAUCCAGCAACUUGUCUUAUCAAUUAUAGAAAAACAGGUAUUUUAGCAAUACGUUGAAUCGAUGAUGAAUCACUCUAAUUCAAGGAUAUCAUGGGAUUUUAAACAACUGAGAUAAAUGGGAGUCAGAUUUAUCUUACGAUAAAACUUCUCUGUUUAGGGAGAGGAGUUGGGGUAAAUUGCACCAUAGCUCCUUUUACAAUCAUUUCAGUUUGGUCCUCAGCCUUUUAUAAAAAGCAAUUGGGUCCUUGAACUUCUUAAUUUUUUGCAAUUGUACCAUUUUGGCUGAAUUCCUCCAUCAAAAUGGAUAGAAAUAUACAUGUAAUUGUCAUCUUAACAUAAGCGAUUUUUGAAUUUCUCAUAUCGCGAUUAUGUGGGCAUUUCCAUCCAGUCUAUGGAAUUUGAUGAACAGGGUAAGGGUGCAACGGAAUUUAUCUGAUUGCAGCAUAUGAAAGGUUGAGGACCAAACCGGUACCUCCUAAAAAGGUUGCAGCACAAUCCCCCUCGACCGUAGGCCAUUUUGAAAUCGACCUCUCAACCUUAUUUCUUUUUUUCCAUUUACACCUUUUCAACUGUUGCUUAUUUGGAUCUGUGUUUGAUCUGUUGAUUCGAUUAUUUGUUAAAUUCAACAGUUGUCAACUGUUAACUAUUAAUAGAACAAAUCAGCUACAAUUUCGUUGCUAAAAGACAGGCAAAUUUGUUACAUUUAGGGCAAUUGGUGUUAAUUUAACCCUAUACUCAAUUCAAUUACUGGAAAUAACUCAAAUUAAAGAGACAGUGCCAAUCGAAAAGUAGAAAAAAAGUUGAGAACUUCCCUUCAGAUAUAACCUAGGGAUCUCCUUACAUUUUAUCUUCUUUUUUUUUUGUGGCAAUUAGCUAAAGGCAUACUACUACUGUUAAUGGCUGUGUUAUAUGUGCAGUUUCAUAAAUUGGAGUCUAAAUUGGCACUCUUUGCGGAUCUUGAAAACAUAAUCCUGAGAAUAAGGGAACAAACAGAAAGAACUAAACAAAGACUUCUUCACGAACGCUCGCAAAUAAUUGCUGCUCGACUGGGUCUGCCUGCGCCAUCUUUUAGACCUAACCCAACUUCUGUACCGCCGGGCAGAUAUCCAGCAGGCUAUGGGAUGCCAAGCACAAAUUCAUUAAACGUGGUCGCUCAAAAACCGCCUGCUAUGAGAAGGCCAUGAAGUAUGUCUUUUUUCUAAGUACAUUGAAGCUCAGCACUUUGUAAAGUAUUGCUGAUGAUAUCAUAUUGCUCACAUAGUAAGUAGUUCUUAAUCGCUGAUUUGGUUGAUAACAUAUACGGAUAGCUAACUCUUGCUUUUUACUUGACUAACGCGUUAAAAAUUUUCAGGAGUCAGCAUCAUCAUUCUUAAGUGAAGGUUUUGUGCUGAUAUGCACUGUGCUGCCUAUGAACUAAAAUGUUCUUAUUGUUAGUUUGAAGGAUUCUUGUUUUUGCCCCUUGUACAUGACUCAGAAGCAAAUUCACCGAGCUAGAAUGUUGUUUUACAGUGGGUAAGCCAUUUCACCAUGUAAGCAUUGGUCCUUUUUAAUGAAAAUCCAUUUAGGCUCCAUGAGCUCUAUUUUAGUAAGAAUUGAUUGCAUAAACUCAAUUUAUAGGUCCCAUGAUAUCUCUACUUUUUUUCAAUUCUUUAAUGUCUUAGUUGUUGCUGUUAUACUGACAGUUUUUCUAUACUCAACUUCAGCUGCAAGCUCCAAAAGAUGCUUGCCUACUUCUAUUUUUAUUUAUUUUACUUUUGAGAGGGGAACCUUUUUUUUUUUUGGUUGGGGCCGCAUUUGUGGUGGGGGGGGGGGUGGUCAUAAUUAUAUAUAUUCAAUCCAAUCAUCUAUUUACAGUUUUAUAUUUACAUAUAUACCUUUUUAUGUGCUUACAAAAAUAUCUUUAGUGGGGAGUCCAAUUUAUGGACGGAAGUUGGAUUAAAUGAGCUUUUCUAACAAGGGUUGUUCUGAGGUGCAAGGGUGUCUCAGAAACUAUGUUUUUUGGUGGGCAUCUUUGUAAACCCAGAUCUAACAGGGUAUGCAUGUAAAUGGAUAAUUUUUCUGGGGCAUAUAUAGAAAUAUCACCUUUUCUUCUCUAGUUCAGUUGAGCAUUUGACUCCGUAGUGAAGUGAAUCAGUGAUUGCGAGGAUUAUUUUCUUCUUUAGCAAUAUCUUGUUUACUGUUUUAGUGUUUGCCUUCUCUUAUGAGAAACAGAGAAGGCCAAUCUUUCCUUGUUUAAGAGGAUUUAGAAUGCUUUAGUAGAUAAUUUUUAGCAGGUUGGCUUUUGCCAAUUUGUUAAAUCUAUCUUCAAACUUGAGGCUCUUCAGUUGGAAUGUUGUUGGAGUUUGAGUAGUGUAGAUAUCGUAGUUGUCAAUAUUUGAACGUUGAUACUUUAAAGUUUAAACUAUGCAAGAUGCAGGCCUAGUCAGUUGAAAAUCUUCUUUAUUGUGUUUGUAUUGUUUUUGUUUUUCUCCCCCCUACAGUUAUGGCUGGCAAACUCUGGUUCUUGAUCAUAGCUGAUCUUAAAUUUGUUUGUAAUGUGUCUAUUCAUCAGUUGAUAAGAUUCUCUUUGCAAUCAUUCAGAAAGGAUUUUUCAACUGUUUUUCAUUAGGUUGUUCAGAAAAUAAACAUGAACGUGACAAAGAAAGAUGCCUAAUCUAAUAAUCUUUCCUGUGCGACACCCAUUUUUGUUAUUUUAAAUAUGGUAUCCUUUGAAAUUCUUUUUGUUUGUUUAUUUUCAUUUUCCCUUUACCGUCUUGUUUUAAGUACGGAUAGUGAAAGAUCUAUUGUAUGAAGAUCCUUUGAGUAUAUCUGUUGACAUGUUUUUUGUGGUAGUAGUGUUUGGGAAAAGACCUCGAUUAGUAAUAAACUUUGCUUUGGUCUUCAUGAUAUUCAGCUGCAAUUGCUUUCAAUGGUAACGCAACUCAGAUCAUCAACAUCAGAUCAUCAACAUCCUUUUAUUAUUAAUGGUACUGCUAGCCAUGUUCUUUCUCCAUGGACUGUAGUUUUCAUUUUGGAUUUGUUGUAAUGGUGGUGAAAAGACAGUUUUGAGCUCCGGCUCGGCUCUACUUGGUUUUCUGAGCGGAAUUGCACUAACUUUUAACUGUCUAAUAUGCAUAUCAUUUUAGUUCCUUAGGUCUCUAAUAUUCUCUUAUAAGAAAUGUCUUUGUAUUUAUAUUCUUCACAGUAGCAUAAUGUGGUAAUGAUGUUUGCUGGAAUGCUCUGUUUCCACUUAAGAUCUGAUCAUAAGGGUUUUACGAAAAAUGAAAUAUGGAGAUUGUUGGAAGAUUUGUUAUGUUUUGUUUGCUUUUGAGUUUUUGGUUUUAGUUUGAUUUUGGGUAUGCCAGGGAAUGAUGGUAUAUGAAAAGGACUGAAAUUUUCUGCUAUUUUAUUUAUUUAUUUACUGAUUCAAUUGUCUGUUUAUUCACUGUUCGCUGAAGAUUUGUAGUUACAUUUGCUUGAGAAGUGACUACUUUCAGCUUGAGAAGCUUUUGGUUUUAAAUUGAUUUCGGGAUUCAAAUUUUAAAUUUAAAUUUUUAUAUUGGAUUAGAAUUUUAAGUUUAAAUACGAAUUUGGAAUUUAAAUAUACAUUCUGUACUUAAUUUUAAAUUUUAAUUUUGAUUUCGAUUGUACUUUUAAUUUUAAAUUCAGUUUAUAUUUAAAAUCAUUUUCUAAAUUUAAAUUUAGACUUUAAUUUGUUAUUACAAUAAUUAAUGGGACCACUAUAUUAAAUUUAUAUUUUUUAAUACACUUUUUACUGGUUUAUAAUAAUUUAAUAAAAUUCUUACCAAAAUAGCUUUGUAUAAUAAAUAGCAGUUUUGACAAAAAUAGCUAAAUGUUAUGCAUUGUUUUUUUUUUUUUUUUUUUUUUUNGGAAAAUGAGUCCUACCUCUACUUUUAGAUGUAAAAUUGAAGUUAACAUUUUUUGAAAGCUACCGACCGUCUCUAGAGUAAGUGGCAAAGGGUUUGGUGGUUGGUAUCCGAGAUCCAAGUUCGAAUCCUAGUUGAUUCACAUUUUCAGCUAAUUUUAUUUCUAAGUGAAAUAAACAAAGCGGGUAGCGUGCUAUCUAUCUCUCAAAAAAAAAAAAAAAUUUUUUUUUUGAAUUUUUUUUUUUUUUUUUCUUUUCCUCUCCUCUUAUUAUGAGCUUGUGAAACCUUUUAGACAAUGUUGGGGGCGUUUACUUUCGCACGCAUAAAAAGAAUGCUAUAUUCAUUCUAUUGGUGUGGCCCAAGCUUUCGCAUUAAAACUGACCUAAAAGCAGAAAAAAAAAGAAAAGAAAAAGAAAAAGCAAAAGAAAAAGAAAAAUAAGUGAGCAAGCAUUUAUAUGUGAGACUUGCAUUGAAACCAUUUUGCCAAAUGGAUCGUUUCGAAUGUACUUUUCUUUUCCCCCGUUAUGUGAUUGCUUAAUCACUGUAGAUUAAAACUCAACAAUGGUUGAAGGGGGAAAAGAAAUGUGUUUGAGCAACUUGUAAUUAAUAACUUCUAUAAAGAGCACCUCGGGGUGUUCGGUUCCCCAAAAUUGCAUAGAAAUGAAAAAUAAAAAUAAAAAUAAAUAUUUUUAGAUUUUUUUUUUUUAAAAAAAAAUCUAACUGAGCUAGAGAAUUUUAUUUGUUAGAAUGAGGCGCAAUUCAAAAACCUAAUUUUAUUUAUUUAUUCAUUAUUAUUAUUAUUAUUAUUAUUAUUGGGAAGAGUUGUUGCCACAAAUAAAACAAAAAGCAGUCAACGGUAUGGGAUGGUUCCGCGCGAGGGCCCCAACGCCCCCCCUCCAUGAAUAGCCAAACUAUCACCAAAUCUAGAGAGAGAAAAAAAACACCCUAACUAUAGAGAUUAGAGAAGAAACAACAUCUAGAGAGAGAAACAGUUAGAGAGAGAGAAGAGAGAGACCAGCGAGAGAGAGAGAGGGGUAGGAGAGGAGGUGGUGGUCCCCUCCUCUCUUCAACCCCGUCCCAAAUUAAAAAAAGUACAAUCUUUUUUUCUCUAAUAUCUAUUUUGUGUUUCCUUUUUCCUCUCUUGUCAUUUCCUUAUGAUAAUUUUUCAGGUAGUGAUUAUUUCUCUACGAGAGAAGCAGAAGUUGGCGUAGUCGGGGGCGGCGCCGCAUCAAAGAGGGUGGAGUUCUCUCUUUCGCCGGAGAAACUCCAUCCUCCCGAACGCAUAUAACUAAACCAUACAUAAAAGUACAUUCAGAUACAAAUCAUGGCGUCCUCUCCGGAUGCCGCUCCGGCCCCCAACUCCUCCUCCUCCUCCUCGUCCUCUCCACCACCACCACCACCACCACCAUCCAACUCCUCCUCGCCCCCUCCCUCUCCACCCCCACCCUCUCCUUCGCCCUCGCCUCCGCCGCCGCCCCCGCCCUCCUCCUCCUCCCCACCUCCGGCAUCGACGCCGCCUCCGUCGACCCCCUCAACUCCGCCCAAUUCAUCGAACAAGCCAUCGCCGCCGCCGAAAGCUACGCCGUCGCAAACGCCUCCCUCUCCUAGUAGUUUCAAAGAACUGCCAUUGCCAUUGCCAUCAUCGCCGCCGCCGCCGCCGCCGCCGCCAGCGCCAGCGGCUUCCAGAGCUGCUGCGUCGAAGAAGGCUGCGCCUUCGCAUGCGUCGCCGGACGACAGCGGCAGCGGCAGCGGUGGCGGCGGGGGGUCGGAGUUGAAUCUGCCGAUGAUCAUCGGGGUGGCGGCCGGGGUCGGGGUGUUCUUCAUCCUGAUGAUGGUGGUCGCGCUCGUGUGCUGCGCCAGGACGAAGAAGAAGAAGAAUGCACUGCCGCCGCAUAACCACCUGCACUACUACGAUAACUCGCAACGCAAAGGUAUUGUUAAAUAUAAAAUUAUAUAAAUACUGUUGUCUAAAGGCUUAAACUUUUAGAGUACAAUGAUUAUUUCACAUGUAUUUUAUAUAUAUAUAUAUAUAUAUAUAUAUAUUCUCUUAUCAUAUGUAGCUAGGGUGCCUUCUUUUUAAGUUUUUUUUUUCGUAAAAAUGCAAGAAAAAAAAAAUUAUAAGAGUUGAGCUCAAAAUGCGCUUAGUUUUUAGCCGUCUGAUUGUCUCGUAAUUCGUAUAAUACUAAUAAAAAAAAUUUAAUAAAAUAUAUUAUUAUUAGUGCUCUACGAAUCUUAAGGCUAAAAAUUCACAAAUACAAAUAGUCAUUUGUUUCGAAAAAAAACACAGAAGCUCAACUCAAAUUAUAAUAUACCUUCUUCUAGUUUAGCGUAUUUUUUUAUUUGCCAUCGCAUUUAACUAAUAUGUAUUUUAAUAUACUUUAAUUUGCCAUUACGUACGUGAUUAAUUAUUAGAAAAUUUUAUUUUAGUUUUACUAUAACGGCCUACCGUUUAAUAGGAUACUAUUUUAUGAUUUUUUAAAAUUUACUUUGCUAUCUUAUUUGACAAUAAUUUUUUUUUUGAUAAAACAAAAAUAAAACUAUAUUUUAAUUAAGUACAAACAUGAUAAAAUAAAAAUGCGCCAAACUAAAAAAAAUUGAAUUGUAAACCUAGCAUUCCUCUUUGAGAAUUAUGAUGUCAACGCACGAAACGGUUGUAUAUAUUUACAGGGAACGACUACUACCACGCCUCAUCUCUCCCUAAAUGGCAGCACAACGGAUCCCAAACCUUCGACCCCACCGGCGGCGGCGGCGCCGCCGUCCCGCUGCCGCCCCCGCCCGGCGGCGUCGGUUGGAGCCCUCACGGGCUCUCCCCGCCGCCUGGCGCAGCACAUCACUUCCACAUCAGCGACACAGGCUCAGGGCCAUACAACGACAACUCCGGCCCCCACGGCGCCCCGCUCCCGCCGCCGUCCCCGUCCGUCGCGCUCGGCUUCGUGAAGAGCACGUUCUCGUACGAGGAGCUGGCGGCGGCCACCGACGGCUUCUCGGCGGCGAAUUUGCUCGGGCAGGGCGGGUUCGGGUACGUGCACAAGGGGGUGCUGCCGAACGGGAAGGAGGUGGCGGUGAAGCAGCUGAAGUCGGGCAGCGGGCAGGGCGACAGGGAGUUCCAGGCAGAAGUAGAAAUUAUUAGUAGAGUGCACCACCGGCACCUCGUCUCGCUCGUCGGCUACUGCAUUUCGCAGACGCAGAGGAUGCUCGUCUACGAGUUCGUGCCCAACAAGACGCUCGAGCACCACCUCUACGGUAAAAUUAAUUAACCCUUCAACAACAAUUUUCUCGUUACUAACUUUUGUAGCAUAGUGGUUAAAAAUUUUACUUACUAUUUUAGAAGGUGCAAAAAAAAAUAAAAAUAAAAGCGCUUUUAAUUUUUCAUCCUUUAUUGUUAUAAUAAAACUAGUGUAGUUAAUUAUCCGAGCGAUACGACGGGCAAAUAUUAUUAAAGUCACCGUUGAUAUUGAUGAUAGUAUGAAGUUAUAUAUAUAUAUAUAUUUUGAAAAAAUGCGACAGGAAGAUGAAGGAAAAAAGAAAAAGAGGCAUAAGAAGAAAAAAUGACAGAUCUCGGAUAUAUAUAUAUAUAUAUAUAAAAUUCUAUAUGAGUCCGGCUACUAUACUAUUGAUAGUAUCAAGUCCUUGAUACUAUUAAGUUUUCUGCCGUUAGAUCUACCCUUUGAUCAUUUUCACCCGUUAGAUUAUACUAUUAAACCAACCACCCACUCAACCCUAGGGGACCACUAUCAAUUUAACCGGGAACUACUAUCAUCCUAACCGCACAUCUUUUCAUCCAACGGCCGAAAACUCAAUAAUAUCAAGGGCUUGGUACUAUUGAUAGUAUAGUAGCAUAUAUAUAUAUAUAUAUAUANNNNNNNNNNNNNNNNNNNCUGAGCUAGGCUGGUAUACUAUCGGUAGCACGGUGGCCUCCGUGCUACCAAGUUGUUUUCAAUGAUGCCGCUUCCAAAUCGACGAUCGGCUCCGUUAGACUUGAUCUACACUACUGAAAGUAUUUGAAAACUAAAUUUCAUAAUUUUUCGGCAUUAUUUACCUAUCAAACGAGUAGUCUAAAAAUGAACGGCUAAAAAACAAAAUUUCCUAAAAAAUGAUGAUAAAAGACUUGAAUUUAAGAUCAGAAGUACUGAUUUUACUCUAAAUAGUGAAAAGAAUUUUCUAUAAAAAUUUCAUCAGGUUUGGAUUAUUUUACACCGUUAAAUUCACAAGUGCAUCACAUCUACCAUUAAAAUUAUUAAUUUUGAGACCUUUUGAUCACUUGCCAAAUGAUGUCAAAAAAUUAUGAAAUUUAGUUUCCAAAUAUUUUUAAUAGUGUAGAUCAAGCCUAACGGAGCCGAUCGUCGAUUUGGAAGCCGCAUCAUUGAAAACAACUUGAUAGCACGGAGGUCUCCGUGCUACCGAUAGUAUACCAGCCUAUCUCUCUCUCUCUCUCUCUCUCUAUAUAUAUAUAUAUAAAAGAAAAAAAAAAGUUGAUUGAAGGUGAGCGGCCUCUACAUUAACAUUACAAAGUGAGAUUUCAUAUAUAGAUAUAGAAGAUUAUUAUUAUAUAUUAAUUUUCUCGUGAUUUUUGUUAUCAUAAUUUUAUAGUAUAAAAUAUGAAAAGAUUAAAAUUAUAUUAAAAUAUUUUGGAUAAUCUAAAAUAUAGAAAUAAUGCUUUUAGCUAUCACAUUAUCAAACUAGCUAGACCUUACUGAUACUGAUGACACGCUUGACACGACAAUAGAAUAGCUACAUAUAUUGUUUUGAGCUGACAUUAGAUUAUCGGGAUAUAUUUGCGGGAUCGCAGAGAAUCUACAAAGCAAUCUCUAAUUAUUUAUAAUAUUGUAUCCUUCAAAAUAGGCUCUUAUAUUAGCAUUAUAAUAAAGAAUAAUAAGAUGUUACAAUAUUAUAAACCACUUAAUUAGCUAGGCUUAGUAUAGCACUUCAUCAAUUCAUUAUUUUUUUUUCCACUUUAUUAUUCUAUAUAUAUAGUUUAUUUAUUAUUGUGUUCAUUAAAAAAAUGCACAGGAAAGGGUCUCCCAGUGCUGGACUGGCCAACACGACUCCGGAUCGCAUUGGGAUCUGCCAAAGGGCUUGCUUACUUGCAUGAAGACUGUGAGACCUCUUCAUUAACUCUAAUUCUUUAAAUUAAACCUUCUUUUUUUUCGCCUCGUAUAUUUAUUUAUAGGCUAAAUUACAGAUAAUCUCCUUAUAAAUAAGUACGUGAGAUAUAAUUAUUAGAUGCUUUGUUUCUUUUUCUUUUUCUUUUUUUUUUUGAGAGAGAUAGGUAGCACGCUACCCGCUCCGUUUGUUUCAUUUAGAAAUAAACUUAGCUAGAAAUGUGAAUCAACUGGGAUUCGAACUUGGGUCUCAGGUACCAACCAAGUCCUUUGCCAGUUGCUCUAGGGACGGUCGGUUAUUAGAUGCUUAUUUUAAUGACGAGCAUGCUGAUGAUGUAAUUUUAUUUAGUGCUAUUUGUAUAUAGCUCUCUAUAAGCAUAUCGAAUAGCAGAUAUAUUUAUAUAAAGUUCAACUUUUUAUUUUUAUCUCUAGAAAAGUCCUAGUGUUUUUUCAAAUAUACUCUUAACUGUUAGGAUCCGUUAGAAAAGUAUAGUUAGUCAUAGAUAAAAUACUUAAUUCUGAUUAGUGAAUGAGAUAAAUAAUUUUUUUUUUUUCUAUUAUAGAAACUAAGAAGAUAAUUUUUUAGAGGAUAUUUUUGCAUAUUCUAAUAGUUGGAAAUUUUAGAGGUACAUAUCUGUGAUGAGAAAAAUAUCAUUUUACUAAUCUGCUACUCUAACGUACGUUAGCAAAUCAUAGGGCACAAAUAUGAAUAUCACUGUAUUUUUGUAGGAACAAAAAUAAAAAAUGAAACUUUGUGUAGGAAUUUAUUUAUUAUUCGAUAUGUUUACAGGAAGCUAUAUACAAUUAGCCUCUUUAAUUUAAUAUUAAUUUCUUAUGUUAAAUAAUUUGAUUCGGUCUUUGGACGUUUCGGGUAGGGAUUUUUAGCUUUUUUUUUUUUAUUCUAAGUUUCGAAUUUUUAUUCGGGUUCAGUUUCGGAUUAUACAAAAAUCCAUAAUAUGUGCUACAUUAUUUGUUCCUUUACUGUAUCUAAUAAUAAUCUAAUUAAUAAUUCUUUAAUUUUCAUUGAAGGUCACCCUCGAAUCAUUCAUCGCGACAUCAAAACCGCCAAUAUUCUUCUUGAUAAUAAAUUCGAGGCUAUGGUACAAAAAAAUUUUAUUGAUCAAUUUAUGCAUAAAAAAAUAAAUACAAUGAAUUAAAAUUAAAUUUAUGUAGUUUUUUUUAAUUUAUAUAUAUGUAUUUGAAAUUGCUAUUUCAGGUUGCUGAUUUUGGAUUGGCCAAGUUAUCUUCUGACACCAACACCCACGUUUCGACACGUGUGAUGGGAACAUUCGGGUAAUUUUAUAUUAGUUUUUUUAAAAAAAUAUAAAAUUUAUCUGAACUGUAGCGCAUUUUUCAUAAAAUUUUAUACCGUAAUUUUAACUUUUUUAUAGAAAUAUUUUGGCAUCUCCCAAAGAUAAUGAAUGGUAAAAACAUUGCAAACUUAUUUGAACCAUAUAUUAUUUGAAUUGACUAUUUAACUUUUUUUUAUUUUUGAUUUUACCAUGUAGCCCUUCAAUUUAUUUGAUUUAAAUUACUCAUCAGUACUUCUUUAACUUUAAAAUUUAAGUUAAUUUUUUAUUUUUAAUAAAAUUAUUCUAAUUAUACCUGUAAAGAUAAAUAUCGUAUUUCAGUUUUAAAGUCAAAGCACUAUUGACUAAUUCAAAUCAAAUAAAUUGAAAGAUUAUAUAGUAAAUUAAAAUUUUGAAAAAUUGAAUAGUCAAUUCAAAAUGAUCCAUAGUUCGGAUAAGUUUUAUAUACGUUUGUACUUAUAAUGGGAUAAAGUUUAAUUCUUUUAGGUUUAGAUAUGAAUUUUUAAAAUCUGUCGGAUCCGGGUUAGGGUUCGGGUUUUGGGUUUGGAGUCGGUUUGGAUUCGGGUUUUUGAAAAUUCGCCCCGAAUCCGACCCAUUGACAUCCCUACUCUUGAUCUAGUGUAAUUAUAUGUACAUAUAUACUUAUUCUGAUCAUAUAUAGAUUCUGAUCAUAUAUAGAUACUUGGCUCCUGAGUACGCGUCGAGCGGCAAGUUAACAGAGAAAUCCGAUGUCUUCUCGUUCGGAGUGAUGCUCCUCGAGCUCAUAACCGGGCGGCGGCCCGUCGACAACACUCAAACCUUCAUGGAGGAUAGCUUGGUUGAUUGGGUGAGUACCGCGACUGUUCUUGCUUAUUUCGAUAUCUCGGAUUCAAAAGUGUUGCGAAAAAAAGCUCAUUGGUUUGCAAUUCAAUCGAGUUCGGCUCAGUUUUACUUCUGUUCGAGUUCUCGAGCUGGGUUCAGCUCGCUCGAGCUCAGCUUUAACCAUUUUUUGAUAUUAAUCAAUUACUUUACUUGGCUCAAAAGUGUGGUGAGCCCAGAUCGAGCUUAUUUACGAAACUCGAACUCGAGUCAAGCUCGAUCUAAGCGUAAUUUAAGUAGCUCGAGCUCACGAAUUUUGUUCAUCUUACAAUUGAACUCGAUGGAUCUAGGCGAGGCCUCUUAUGAUCCGCGCGCUGACUGAGAACAACUUUGAAGAGCUGGUCGACCCGCGACUGGAGAAGAACUACGACCCGACGGAGAUGCAACACAUGAUCGCGAGUGCCGCUGCUUGCGUUCGCCAUUCCGCUCGACGGCGCCCUAAAAUGAGCCAGGUACAUGGAUGAAACAUUCUCCAAAGCUUAUUCUAACAUCUUAUUAUUAAAUUGGAUUAAUUUCAUACAUGUCCCUAUAAAUAUAAUGAAUUGCAAACAUAUUUUUAUAAAUUUUAACUUUCUUAUGUUGUUCCUACAAAAGUCCUAAUAUUUUUAAAUAUGUCCAUGCCGUUAGAAUCCGUUAGAAAACUUAGUUAAUCAUAGGUUACAUGCUUAACCCUGAUUAGUUUAUGAGAUAAUUUGAUAAUUUGAUAAUUUUGGAGGGACAUAUUUGAAAAGAGAUAUAAAAACAUCAGAACUUUUGUAUGGACCACAUGUGAAAGUUGAAUUUUGUAGGGAUAUAUUUGUAAUUCACUAUAUUUGUAGGGACCUAUACGCAUUUAACCCUAUUAUAUUUAUGUCCUACUCUAAUUGUUUCAAAGCUAAAAAAAAAGAGUAGUUUUUGAUAAUUUUGAGGGGUAUAUUACAAGCCAAAUUUUAAAAAGAGGGGUUAUCAAUCUUUUGUGCAAAUUUCAAUUUGACACUUAAUUAACCUAUGAAUUUUUAUAACUGAGCAUCUAUAUGUGAUUUGGAUGUUGUUGUAAUCUUAGGCCCCGUUUGGUUGGGGGGAUAAGCGGGGAUAACAAACGUUAUCCUCGUUAUUCCGCCAAACGGGGUGAAAUUUGGCCGGGAUAUUUUAUCCCGGUCAAACCUUGCUAUUCCCGGUUAUCCCGGAAUAGCAAGGGAUUUGCUAUUCCACCAUUUUGGUAGAAUAGCACUAUUCCAAUGCUUAAUUUCAAACUUAAUUAAAAUUAUAAAUUGAAUUAAAACUAAAUUAUAUAAAUAUAAUAUGUUAUAUAUUAUAAUACAUUAUUUUUAUUAUAAAAUUAUUAAUUGUACUAUAUUAAUACAUAUUAUUUAUAUUUAAAUAUUAUAAUAAAAUUUAUAAUAAAUUAUAUUUAAAUAUUAUAAUAAAUUCUUUUUAUUAAAUUUAAGUUUAAGUAGAAUUUUUAAAAAAUUUAUAAAUUUAUUAUAAUAAAUAGUUUUUAUUAAUUGUUCCCACCCCUAUUCUUAUUUUAAAAUUUUAAAAAUUAAAAAUUUAAAUUUUUAAAAUUUAUAUAUUAUAAUACAUUAUUUUUAUUAUAAAAUUAUUAAUUGUACUAUAUUAAUAAUUAUUAUUUAUAUUUAAAUAUUAUAAUAAAAUUUAUAGUAAAUUAUAUUUAAAUAUUAUAAUAAAUUCUUUUUAUUAAAUUUAAGUUUAAGUAGAAUUUUAAAAAAAUUUAUAAAUUUAUUAUAAUAAAUUAUUUUUAUUAAUUGUUCCCACCCCUAUUCUUAUUUUAAAAUUUUAAAAAUUAAAAAUUUAAAUUUUUAAAAUUUAUAAUUUAUAAUCUCAAAAUUAAAGUUUAUAAUUUUAAAUUUUAAAUUUUAUAUUUAAGUUUUGAUAUUUUAAUUUGAAAUUUAAAAUUUGAUAUUUUAUAUUUUUCAAAUUUAAAUUUGAUCUUAAAUUUAAAGUUUGAAAUUUAAAAUUUAAAAUUUUGAAUUUAAAAUUUGAGAUUUUAAAUUUCAAAAUUUAAAAUUUCAAAGUUAAAAUUUUAAAUUUAAAAAUAUAUAUUUAAAAAUUUAAAAAUUUAAAUUUAAAUAUAAUAAGAGGAUAAUAUGAUUAUUUUUUAUUUAUAAAAUCUACUAUCUUUUUUAUUAAAUUCCUCCAUUGAAAUCAAAACAGAUGUCUACAUAAAUUGACACAUAUAUGAGCAUUUUGAUCCUAUUAAAGCUUUGGGGGUUUUAUUUAUAUACCCCAUACUACUAUUAAAAGUUUUCAAAUUACUCUUUAUUGCCCAACAUAUUCUUCUAAAAUUCAAUCCUAUUAGUAAACCCUAGGAAAAAAAAAAUAUUUAAGAGAAUUUUUUAAAAUCAGUAAAGAUAUUAUGGUCAUUCAGAAAUAAAUAAGAUACAUUUUUUAAGUUUUGAAAAAUAUAUUACAUAUUAUCACUAAAAUUUUUGUAGAAACGUUUUUUGAGUAGAGUUAAAGGAGAAGUAUUAGCAACUUUUUUAUUAGCUUCAAAAUAAUUUCUCUCCAAUGUUCCUAUUUUCAACUUUUUGUGAUUGUACAUUUUUUAUUAUCCAAAUUCUACAAUAGGAAAUAGUGCUGUUAAAAAAGUACUACAUAAAAUAGUGGGGUACUAAAAAAAGCUGUAGAGUAUUUGACUAAUUUUAUUAUAAAAUUCUAUGUAGAAGUUGUUUGGUAAAAACUCAACUAAAUUAUUGUAAAAUAAUAUAAAGAGUUUUAGAAAAAUAUGAAUUUAAUUAAACCGCCCCGUUAUUUUUUACCUUCUUAAUUUUUUGUCUCAAAAUUUAAAAGAAUUGGUCUAAAUUAACAAUUUUAUUACAAUUUUAAAAAAUUCUAUAAAAGUUAUUAUUCUUAAUCACUCGUUAGCAAAUAAACUUGUGAUAAUUAAUGGCCAACAUUUAAUAAAAUUAUUAUAUUCAAUAAUAAUUUCUCUUUAAUUAACUAUAUAAUUCAAAUAAAAAAAUAAAGAUUCAAGAGAUGUCAAUUAAAAAACUAAAGAUAAGAACUAAAUUUAAUAAAAGUACAUAUAUAUAUAUAUAUAUAUAUAUAUAUAUAUAUAUAUAGAGAGAGAGAGAGAGAGAGAGAGAGAGAGAGAGAGAGAGAACACAAUAUGCAUAUAGAAUAGGGAUGUCAAUGGGUUGGAAUUCGAAAUUUAUUCGAAUCUGAACCCGAAUGAAACGGAUAUAUUCGAUGCUAAAUGAAUAUGGAUUCGGAUAUGGAUAUAAAAAUAAAACCCGACGGAUAUGGAUUCGGAUAUGGGUUUGACUGUACCCGAUCCCAACCCGAACGGACCCGAACCGAAUUUAUUUGUAUUAUAUAAAAUAUAUAUAUAAAAUUUGAUGUUUUGUUUGAACUUGUAUUUUAAAAUUUAGAUUUAAUAUAUAUAUUUUGAAAUAUUGAAAAAAUAAAUAAUUGUUUCGGGUUUCAAAUUUUCGGUUUGGUUCGGGUUUCGGAUUUUGGCCAGGUUCUGAUUUGGAUACGAAUUUUUAAAACCGUCGGCUGGCUCGAUUCGGGUUGCGGUCUCGGGUUUGGAGUCGGGUUCGGUCGGGUUCGGAUUUUUAAAAAUCCGCCCCGAAUCCGACCCAUUGACAUCUCCUAAUAUAGAACGCUAGGGACUGUUGGCUUGCACGUAGUUGCACUGUAUUACAGUUGUAACUGUAUAUAAUACAAAUUCAUUAUUGAUUUGAUGUAUUUAACUUCAACUCCAGCAUUAGAACUGUAGGAGGAGGUCCAAUUGCAGCAGUUGAAACUACGCCCAAAUUGCCGCAGUUCCAACUGUAGCAGUUGGAAAGAGUAACUUUAAAUAAAAGAUAUGUUUACCUUCUUAAUAUUUUUUUAAACAACUUUUUUUUUUUUUUUUUUUACAUUGGAGAAUCACACCAUCACAUACAUAAAAUGAUAAAAUUUUAAAAGUUAUUUCUCAACUACAUUUAACAAAUAAAUUAUUUAUAGUUCCAGCACUUUCUACUAUAUACCAACCAAACAAGAUGCAUAUAGUUCAACUGCUAUAUUUCAACUGCAUAUAUUUUGAAUUAUACUGUGUUGGUGUAAAUAUUCAAAAAAUAAGAUGUUAGUUUACAAAAUAAUUUAAAAAAUAUCAACGAGUCGAUCAAGCCGAGGCACGGAUAUCUCGCUCUCUUUAAGGAGAUUCAAGCCCUCUGCGGUUGGCAAAGCCUUUGAACCGAUACAGCAGAGCACCGACUUGUCCCCUCCAGAAUACAACGGCUCGACCCUCAUCGUGUGGCUUCACCAACUCUGCACAAGUAGAUGAGCCCAAAGCUCUACCAAAAGAAACACCUUUUUUUGACCUUCUCUCUCUCAAGUAGAAUAUAGAUAUUGUAGUUUUUUUUUUUAUGUUAUGUGGAAGUGAAUAGAGAAGCCUCUAUAUAUAGGUUUCAAAAGUAUAGGUUACAAAAGUAUCAAACCCAUAGGUUACAUAGUUAGUGCUAUAGGAGUUUACAUACGUAAAUGAACUUAAUUAUGUUCACCUUAUUGAAGUAGGUUCACAUAUAAGUUCACAAUGAAUGCAAACUAAAUGAAGUGGUAAAUUCACAUGCAUAACUAUAAAUGCAAGUAUAGGUUAUGCAAAGGUUAAUAAAAUUUAUAUUAAUAAUAAAAUGUAACAACAUACUGUAUUUAUAAUUAUAUCAAACUAAACCGCCCUUAAGUUGCAGUUUGUUAUAGCCAUAUUUUGAGUUACCAAACAGUCCAAAAAAGCACGUUCACCUAAAACCGGAACCAAACGGAUACUGUAACAUUUGCCGCAUGAGCUAGACCAAAUAUGACAAAGCACAAAGAUUAGAAAGUUAAAUCUAGAAAUAUGGCAUUAAAACCUAGUAACUAUGGUGCAUUUUUUUUGAGAUAGUAUCUAAUUAUAUAUCUUUCUAAACUUCAAAAAUAAUUUAUUUAUUCUCGAAAGACAAAAAUAACCUUAUUGAUUUUCAAAAAAUUCUAUUUUUCAUAGGAUUUACUAAUGGGAUUGGUUUUACAAAGAUAUUUUGAUAAUUUCAAAAUAAAUUUGAAAAUUUUGAAUAGUAAUAAUGGGUAGAUAAGCAAACCUUUUUUUUUUUUUUUCGAACAAUUAUCUUUUAACAGGUCGUUCGCUCACUGGAGGGCGACAUUUCGUUGGAGGACUUGAACGAGGGGGUGAAGCCAGGCCAGAGCUCGUUCUUCGGCUCGAGCUCGGACUUCGACUCGAGCUCGUACAGCUCCAACAUGCGCCAGUUCCGCCGCAUCGCCCUCGGCAGCGGUGAGUUCAGUAACGAGUACAGCGGCCCCACCAGCGAGUACGGCCUCAAUCCAUCGGAAUCCAGCUCCUCUUCUGGUGAGAUCAACACCAAAUCCACCGCCACCGGAGUUAGCCGACGGCAUUAGAAAGUAACCAAUGUUUUGAAAUCCAAAUUGGAAACUUUGAAUCGUGAAAUCUGAUCAGGUUCAUUUUCGGUUCGGUUUCAAAUUUUAACACUGUCGUGAAAGACUUAUCUACCGCUCUUUGAAGAAAACAAAGGCCUACAGCUCUAUAUACAGCUCAGUUGGUGUACUAUUAAUAGUAUAUGAGUAGUAUAUUUUUACAGAGUUUUUAACCUAUUUGACUCGUGCUCUUCUGGCGAGAUCAACACCGAAUCCACCGCCGCCACCGGAGGAAGCGGGCGACAUUAGAAAGUACCCAAUGUUUUGAAAGCCAAAUUGGAAAACUUUGAAUCAUGAUUUUCAAGUUCAUUUUUGGUUCGAUUUCAAAUUUUAACACUGUCGCGAAGGACUUAUCUACCACUUUCUGAAGAAAACAAAGGCCUACAACUCAGCUGGUGCAUUAUUAAUAGUAUGUGAAUAGUGCACACUAUAGACUUUUAACUUAUUUGACUCUAUCGACGUCCCUAAAGCAAGUGGCAAAAGGACUUGGUGGUUGGUAUCCGAGACUUAAGUUCGAAUCCUAACUGAUUCACAUUUCUAGUUAAGUUUAUUUCUAAAUAAAAUAAACGAAGCGGGUAGCGUGCUACCUAUCUCUUAAAAAAAAAAAAAACUUAUUUGACUCCAGCUCCUCCUCUAGCGAGAUGAACACUAAAACCACCGCCGCCGCCGGAGGAAGCUGACGACAUUAGAAAGUAACCAAUGUUUUGAAAGCCAAAUUGGAAAACUUUUAAUCAUGAUAUUUUGAGUUUAUUUUCAAUUUCAUUUCAAAUUUUAACACGGUCGUGAAGGACUAAUCUACCACUAUUUGAAAAAAACAAAGCCCUAUAACUCUAUAUUGAAUUCACUUGUUGGAGUAUUAUUAGACUAAAAUACGAAAAAAAAUUGUUAGUAUCUUUUUUUUUUUUUUUUUUUUUUUUUUCUUUCUGUCUUUUAAAAAGCUAUAUUUUAUCACAUCAAAAUUUUAAAUUGAUACACUUAGCCCCCCUCUUAGGAUUUUAUCAUGGUUUUGUUUAUUUCAUAUAAUUUAUACCAAAAUGUCUCUUAUAAUAACACGAAUACAUUUAUUUCUUUUUUCUAAAAUAAGUAUAAGUGCAAUUACACCAUUUCACCUCUUCAUUAACGUUAUAAGCCUUAAAAAUUUUGCAAAUUUGAAGGGAUAAAAUAUACAUUACAACAGAAUUAGGUUAUAGCGACACAUGUUUGGGACACUUUUGUCUAAGUGUUCCAUUUAUGUCAAAAUUUUAAAAAAACAUCUACUAAUUCCUAAAUAUAAAGCCGAAUUCAAUAAAAAAUAAAAGUUUACUAUACUCAACCCAUCCAACCUAGCCCAUUUGGCCCGAUUCCAAACAGAAAGGAAAAAAAAAAAAAAAAAAAAUCGAUUAACAUUUUCGCUUCUCCCCUCACUGAAUCUACUGAAAUCCUAGACAAAGGGCCCUUCCCUCUCGUCCUCCUCCGCCACCGCAGCCAAUGAGGUAGAGUUUCGGCGGUUGCUAGAUACUUAAAUAAGUGUUGUUAAAUUAGCAUUACUUUUUUAGGUUAUAGCGACACUCUUUAACCGUCGCUAUAUACCUAGCGAUCCCACAUAUAGCAACACUCUUUAAAAGUGUCGGUAAUUUAGCUAGUAGCACUGUUUUUGACCUAUACCGAUAUUUAAAAGUGUCGCUAUAAACCGUUUUUGUUGUAGUGAAUUAAGGUUUUCAAAAGUUAGUGUAAAAAGUGAAAAAUUAGAUAUUCGUAGAAGGAUUUUCUAUAAUUUUAGUGGUGUUGCUAAUAGUAUAUAAAUAGUAUAUAGUAUUGACAUUUUAGCCAUUAGAUGCUAGAAUUUAUCCUUUAGUACCCUUCAGUAGUAAGUAUCCAACGGUUAAAAAAUUCGAUAGCAUACACUAACGUAACACCUGAAUAGUCCCAUAUCAGAUGGGAACGAAAUUGUAAUUGGAUAUGAACACUAAUAAUCAUAAUCGAGCUUAAACAUUUUGCAUUGCUGGUUUUUACCCAAUGGGUUAUUAUUGUUAGCAUGCCGAAUCGUUAUAUUUGGUAUUAGAGGCGGUUCACCAGUCGACAGUGUGAAAUGAGUUUCAGCUGAGUUAGGGUUAGAAUGACAAGUUAAACCAAAGUCUGAAAAUGAUAGACUAAGUCAGGAUCAUAAUAACAAGACUAGUGAGAUAAGUCUCACAUCGCCUUACUGUGUGUGAUUGGGCUGAUGAGGAUAUCAGGGUCAAAAUGGAGGAGUCUGUAAUAUCUUGAUAAUCCCAUAUUAGAUAGGAACGGAGUUAUAAUUGAUAUAAGUGACCAUGGGCAAUAGUAAUCAUAAACAAGCUUAAACAUUUUGGGCUGGAGAAUUUGGAACCAACUUCUUAAAUCUAGUGGGUCGGAUCGUUACAACUAUUCACCUACUACUAAUAGUAUCCUAGCUGCACUAUAUAAUAUAUAAGAUAAUUAACUAACACUUAAUAUAAAAAUUAUGUAACUCUGAAAAUUUUUUAUUUAUUAUCUGCGGGGUAAGACAAAAGCUGGAAGGUGGUGUUUGUAGUAUAUAUUGUCUAUUUUAUUUUAAGAAUUUUAUUUUAUUUCUUGUAUAUAAUAAGAUCUAGAGUAGUAGUAUUGAUUUUUUUUUUUUCUUUUAUAGGGAAUUUAAACUCUAAUUUUCUAAUUCUGGUCAGUUUGUGACGUAUUAUUAAGAAAAAAGUAAACAAACGAAAAUGGUCUAUUGUUGUUUUAAUUUUUUUGGAAAAAUUGCAUGUUUGGUCUUCAAACUAUGAAUAUGGUGAUACUUUGGUCCUCAAACUUUCAUUUAUUAUAAUUUCUAAUCCGAACUUUUAGAAUAGUUGCAAUCAAAUCCCACAACUAAUUUAGUUAGCUAAAUAUUGAUAAGUUAUUAGUGUAAAAGUAAUGUUAAAGUAUUGUGAUUGAUCAUGCAAAAUAAAUUAUAAUACAUUGCAUUAUCAAGAGAAUCUUCUUCAAUAAGUGAGAGUCUCAUAUGAGAAAAAAUUAGUAAAGUGCAUGCUUUCGCACCAUCCAUAUUUCAUAUAUGCUCUUGCAAGAAGAUCAAGUGAGUAUCUGGAUUAAGAUUAAAAAAAUGCCAUUUAAAUCUUGGUGUACCUCGAUGUUAAGAAAGUAAUGGAGAGGAUCAAGAUCUUUCAUUGCAAACUGGAUGCCAAGUUCAUGAAUAACAUUAUGAAUAAGAUUAUUACUAUCAGUAAUAAUAAUAUUACCUAUAUAUAUAAGAAGAAUGGAAUUCCAUUAUGAGAAGUGUGAAUAAGAAGAGCCAUGAUAUCCCAACACUAGUAGAUAUCCUGUGAAGCCCCAAACUAAGCAUGAGGUACUUAUUUUAACCUAUAAAUCCAUUUAUAGAGUUUACAAAUAUGAGUUAGAGUAAGAGGAUCAAUAAAAUCUAGAGGUUGUUGCAUAUAUACUUUUCCCCGUAAAAUGCCAUGCAACGAGGCAUUGUGGACAUCUAGUUAAUGAAUAGGCCAUCCAAAAUGAACAGCAAUAGCCAACACAAUUCAAAUCAUGGAAGGCUUUGGCAACAAAAUUAGAGGUUUCACUGUAAUCAAGUGCAGGUUGUUGAUGAUAACCUUUGGCUACCAAACGAGCGUUAUAUCUUUCAAGAUUAUGUCAUUCGAGAACCCAACGAUAACCAACAACAUUCAUACUAGGAAUAAAGAGGAUAGAAGACCAUAUCCAGCAUUUUUAUAGUGCAUUAACUUUGGCAAGCAUUGUAUUUCUUCACUUAAUACAUUUUUAGGCUUGACUAUAACAAGUUGGCUCGAUGUCUACAAAUAUUGUAUCAAAUUGAAAUGUAAUAUCUAUUUUUCUAAGUACGAGAGUAGAAUUUGAUCACAUCAAAAAUUAAUUUACCUGUGAGACCCCAGAUAGUUUUAUAUAUGAGAUAUAAUAGGGCUAAAACUCCUAACCCGGCUUAAGUAUUUUGGGUGGUGGCAAGGCCCAAUAGGUUAAGAGAGUUAAGCGUGCUAGGACGGAGUAGUCCUAGGAUGGGUGACCCUCUGGGAAGUUGGAGCGUCACAUUACCUCUAAAGAACUAGAAAGGUCUAAUUAAUUAAAGCUUUAAAUUAAUACUAUACAUAAUAUAUUAUUAUAUAUCGUUAAUUCCUUAGUCCUUACAAAGGUAAAUGUCUGUAACUAAAUAUUUUGUUAGUUGGUAAUGAUAACAAAUGAACCGAGCUUUUGGGUCGGGUUCGUGCGGGGCUUGGAUGUGUCCAAAUAGGCCCAAAACUUUUCAGGUCUAAAUUUUUAAACUCGACCCAAAUCCAAAUUAUCAUUUAUUUACAUACUCAUAGUCUAGCUUAUACAUGAAUUGGCCAUUGUUUAGGCCCAGGCUCAGUUCCACUCCUACUUUCAUUACAUUUGUAAAAUAGGUUGAAAUAUAAGCAAAGUUAAAAAAAAAAAAAUUCCUCUGAGAGAAAAAGAUGCCCUCUAUGAAAGGAAUAGUUUUUGAAGAAAUAAUUAUAUUUAAUUGCAUAGAGUUGCGAAUUUAUUCCAAAGUAAUUAUGUUAUCACAUAUAUUUUUGUAAAGUUUCAUCAAAUAUAUGCCUCUCUGGUAACAAACGACUAUAGUUGAGUUUUUUCUUUCUAAAGUGACCAUCUAACCUUCAAUGAAUAUCUUUUAAAGCACAUGCAAAUGCAAAUUUAUUUUUCAUCUUUGAUAUUUUUGAACUAAUAUUCUUAUAAUAUUUUGUAUCAUUCUACGUGAAGGGCUUGUUUAUUUGCCUAUAAUAAAUUUUUUAGUAAAAAAUGACUGCCAGUUGACCGCAGGCAUGUUCAGAUAAUUUUUUUUUUUCCAUCGCUAUUUUUGAUAAGAAGUUAAUAAUUUUGGAACUCUAGUUCCUUUUAUUAAAUUUUAUUUUAUAAAAGCUUUUCACACUAUUACAUAAGAGGAUGAAGAAUAAAUACACUAGUUAAUUUAUUUUUUAUUUUAUUCUAUCUCUUACUCUCAUGUAAUUGACUUACCAACAACCUAGAGCGAAGUUAAUUGCAGCAAAUAAAUUUACCUUACGACGAAUCAGGCAACUCAAGAAAGCUUUUAUAGUUGAAAAUAACUUUACUACUCUCUACUUUCGGUAAAACAAGCAUGCUCGAACCAUAAAUUAUUAAUUUUACAAAUUUUUUUAAAACUAACUAUAGUUUAGAAGAAAAAAAUGGUUACAACAAUACAAAAUUAACAGCCAACUAACGACAGCCAAUAUGCAAAGAUAAAUUUAUAUAUUUUAAAGCUUUAAAAAGAAUAUUCGAUAAUUCAAACUUCAUAAAAAUAUAUAUAUGCAGCUUUUUUGCAACAUUAAUAUGAAAUCGGCUCCGGGGGAGUGUUUGGUUCCUUAAAAGAUCAUGAAAACUAUUUUCAAAAAAAGAUCUUAAAAAAUGUCCGUUCCAUCAUUUUAAUUAUUCAGUUUAAUAAUUUUUUUAAAAAAAUAAAUCUUUUUAUUAAGAGCCAUAUUGUCACGCCCCAGAUUACACUUUCCCCGGGCGCGCCGACAAAUCCGCUGUGUACAAAAAAAUUUCCCCUGUAUACGAAGCGAUAGCUGUACCUGUAAAACAAACACUACUACGAACAGUAGUAGAGAGCUGCUAGAGAAAGCAGAAGCUAAACAAACUGAGUUUCAUGUACAUAGUCCAAAUCCAAAAUACAAAGCUACUCGCACUGGCGAGUUAAAUCUACUAUGUACAUAAACUCGAAACAAAACAUCUACCUGCAGUAGGGGCACCUCUAGCUCAGCACGUCAGGUAGGGCUCUAACUCGCGACGCCCUUGCCUCGAUCCUGAUCCGCGGACGGUGCAGCAGCAGGAACCUGUGGCUCUGCAAAAACAUAGGUAACAACUGGGCGUGAGAACUACUGUAAAAACAAGUAGUCCUCAGUGGGUACCGCCCAAAACAAUAUCGGUCUACCCACUAAGUCUACAGAAGGGAGCAGGAAUAGUAGUACAAUGCAGGAAUAAAGUCUACCGCUAUCAAACACUACACUAUCAUGCUCUACACUAACCAACUGUAGAAAAUAUCCAACCUGACCCAAUCCAAUCGGGAUUGUAAGCAUACCCGUCCCCGGGACUGUGAAUACACCCGUCCCUGCCCCGUUGCGACUAUCGGGCUCUAUCCACACUAACUGGUCUGUGGAGAGCAAGUCCAACUGGCAUGAGCGACACCAACGCGAAAGCACAAAGCCUGACUCCGGAGUGGCACUCGUGGGCGCUACCCAACCGAGUAUGCAGCGUAUCUCUGUCGAGCUCAAUCAGGCUUCAACUAGCCAAAGUCAAGUAAACAGGGUCAAAACAGGUCUACAAACCAAACCCACGUGCCCUCGGCACAAUCUGUGACCAAAACAAGAAUCUGGGUCCACCGCUAACCCGAACGGCACCCAACUACCCGAAACAGCCUACACUUUGCUGAAAAAUAAGCUCGGCAUCUCAGCACGAGCGUAAAUGCCUUCUAAACUACCCCAGAUAUCCAUCGCAACGAUACUGCAACGAUACAAUCGAAUCACGGCUCCUAGAGCUAAAUCUGGUAGUUUAAGCAUAUGACGGGUCAAAACGCAGGUUUUCUCCUAAGUCAAAUUUCAAGUCCAACGUGUAUAAUAUAAAUAUUCAUUUCAGCAUGCUUUUAUAUUCAUAUUACGUCCAAAAUGCUAAUCGAUGAAUUAAAGCAUGAUAUACAACAAUCGAACUAUACACGUCGACUAAACAUGCACUUAGGAGUGAAACCGAUGAUACACCCACCUCGAGAGCAAAUUCCUGGCAGCACGAAACUCCCUUGGCUGCGACACAACCUGCUGGAUCGACUGAAAAUGUCCGAGUCUCAAAAUCAAGCUAUCUCCAAGCUAUUAAUAUCAAAAUCCAC
rnacentral:lncRNA from 1 species